CAAAUGUGAAGUUGCUGUUAACAUAAAGGAACAGUCAGUUCCUCUCACCAGAUGUAUCAACGUGAAUGUUUCAGAAAACAUUCUUAUUUUCACUUUCUGGACUUCCUAAGCUGCGUUUUCUCUGCCUCUUCUCGUAAACCCAGCUCGUUCCAAGAUGACCCAAGGUUGCUCUCAUUUCUUGAGGACAUAUCCUGAAGCAGUUCCUGGUGCCGCUGCCCUGCAGUGCUGGAGGCAGCCCCAUGCUGGGGACCCAUGGGCAGGGACCACAAGAAAGCAGCAACAAACCCAGGCUGACUCCAACCCAAUGCAACCUACAAACAGCAGAUCCAUUGCUGGGAGCACAGAUGCAGCUCAGAGCGCGUUGGUGUGGUCCUCCAAGCCCAGGCACAGACAGUAAAUCUUCACCAAGACGAUUCAGCUGCUCAAAUGCAAGAGAAAGAACACAGGACUCUCUUUGGAGGCACUGAAGUUUUAACACAGUCCCUCUGCCCCAUCUCAGUAACACUGCAACAUUCCCGGAUAGAAACUGUCUCCAAAGCUAAACCAACCCCGGUGGUGUGGAAAGAAGAGCUGGAAAUCUAUUCUGGUUGUGGAAAGAAAGGUAAUAAAAACUGCACCACGUUCUGAUCAAGCACUUCACCAAUGACCACACUGCUCACUCUCCCGUGCUGUGGUUUCCCUCCAGUGGCACCAGCAGCAAGCUGCAGCUCUCCCACAGGUCUUUGUAGAGCAAACAGGAACUGAACCAUCACCAAAUCGCUUCUCGCUGCUCCCAGCCUCACUCAGCUCCGGGGCUUCUUGCUUCCCACACUGAGAAUCCAGAAUGUGGUGAUCCAGCUGUGCAGGUUGGGUUAUUCCUUGAGGAGAAACCAGAUGGCUUCAAAGCUGCAGAGCAACACAUCAGUGCUGGGGGCUCUGCUUCACCAGAGAGUGUUGGGGUUUUUUGCUCCCAUAAUACAACAGCUAUUGCUAUACUUGUUGAAAAGAGUCCUUUUAAAGGACAAGAGUUUAACAUUAGCACCUUCUUGACACCAUCCCUCCAAAUCUUCUUCUCUUCAUUUUUAC
ensembl:lncRNA